GACGAACGCUGGCGGCGUGCUUAACACAUGCAAGUCGAACGGAAAGGCCCUGCUUUUGUGGGGUGCUCGAGUGGCGAACGGGUGAGUAACACGUGAGUAACCUGCCCUUGACUUUGGGAUAACUUCAGGAAACUGGGGCUAAUACCGGAUAGGAGCACCUGCUGCAUGGUGGGGGUUGGAAAGUUUCGGCGGUUGGGGAUGGACUCGCGGCUUAUCAGCUUGUUGGUGGGGUAGUGGCUUACCAAGGCUUUGACGGGUAGCCGGCCUGAGAGGGUGACCGGCCACAUUGGGACUGAGAUACGGCCCAGACUCCUACGGGAGGCAGCAGUGGGGAAUAUUGCACAAUGGGCGGAAGCCUGAUGCAGCAACGCCGCGUGCUGGAUGACGGCCUUCGGGUUGUAAACCGCUUUCGCCUGUGACGAAGCGUGAGUGACGGUAAUGGGUAAAGAAGCACCGGCUAACUACGUG
rnacentral:rRNA from 1 species